rnacentral:rRNA from 1 species
GACAGAGGGGGCAAGCGUUGCUCGGAAUUACUGGGCGUAAAGGGCGCGUAGGCGGGAUGGCAAGUCGGUCGUGAAAUCCUUCGGCCCAACCGAAGAACGUCGAUCGAUACUGCUGUUCUAGAGGAUUGCAGAGGAGACUGGAAUUCCCGGUGUAGCGGUGAAAUGCGUAGAUAUUGGGAGGAACACCGGUGGCGAAGGCGGCUACCUGGACCGGUUCUGGACGCUGAUGCGCGAA